rnacentral:rRNA from 1 species
CAUGUUUUGCCAGGUUGAUUCAAGGAGAAUCAGUAGCGGGUCACGCGGAGUACUUGACUUUCUAAGUAGCCAAUGCUCGUCAUCUAUUAGUGACGGGCAUGAAUGAUUACGAGAUCUUACUGUCCCUAUCUACUAUCUAGCGAAACCACAGCCAAGGGAAGGGCUUGGAAUAAUUAGCGGGGAAAGAAGACCCUUUUGAGCUUGACUCUAAUCUGGCAGUGUAAGGAGACAUAAGAGGUGUAGAAUAAGUGGGAGAUAUUAGACCUCGGUUUGGUAUCGUCAAUGAAAUACCACUACUCUUAUUGUUUCCUUACUUACUUGAUUAAAUGGAACGUGUAUCAUUUCCUAGCCAUUAUACGGAUAUAUUUAUUAUAUCUUAUGGUAUUGGGUUUUGAUGCAAGCUUCUUGAUCAAAGUAUCACGAGUUUGUUAUAUAAUCGCAAACAAAUUCUUUAAUAAAACGAUGCAUUUAUGUAUUUUUGAUUUGAAAAUUUGGUAUAACUCCAAUUACUCAGGUAUGAUCCAAUUCAAGGACAUUGCCAGGUAGGGAGUUUGACUGGGGCGGUACAUCUCUCAAAUAAUAACGGAGGUGUCCCAAGGCCAGCUCAGUGCGGACAGAAACCACACAUAGAGCAAAAGGGCAAAUGCUGACUUGAUCUCGGUGUUCAGUACACACAGGGACAGCAAAAGCUCGGCCUAUCGAUCCUUUUGGUUUAAAGAGUUUUUAACAAGAGGUGUCAGAAAAGUUACCAUAGGGAUAACUGGCUUGUGGCGGCCAAGCGUUCAUAGCGACGUCGCUUUUUGAUCCUUCGAUGUCGGCUCUUCCUAUCAUUGUGAAGCAAAAUUCACCAAGCGUUGGAUUGUUCACCCAUGCAAGGGAACGUGAGCUGGGUUUAGACCGUCGUGAGACAGGUUAGUUUUACCCUACUAAUGACAAAACGUUGUUGCGACAGCAUUCCUGCGUAGUACGAGAGGAACCGCAGGUACGGACCAAUGGCACAAUACUUGUUCGAGCGAACAGUGGUAUGACGCUACGUCCGUUGGAUUAUGCCUGAACGCCUCUAAGGUCGUAUCGAAUCCACCA